GACGAACGCUGGCGGCGUGCCUAAUACAUGCAAGUCGAACGAACAGCCGAGGAGCUUGCCUCCCUGCCGUUUGCGUCGCACGGGUGUGUGAAACGUGGAUAAAACCCCUCUUACACUGGGAUAAAUUAGGGAAAAAGGAGCUCUUAUAGGACAAUCUAUUGAAUCGCGUCGUUCAAUAGUGAAAGACGGUUUUCUCGACAUUUAUACAAGCACUGGCGCCGGAUUAGCUAGUUGGUAAGGUAACGGGUUACCAAGGCAACGAUGAGUAGCCGACCUGAGAGGGUGAUCGGCCACACUGGAACGGAGACACGGUCCAGACUCCUACGGGAGGAGGAGUGAGGGAAUCUUCGGCAAUGGGCGAAGGCCGAACGGAGCAACGCCGCUGGAGGGAGGAGGGCUUCCGGUUGGAAAAACCCGUUUAUUGGGGAAGAACAAAUUUUUGAGAAAAGAGGCACGGAUUGACGGUACCGAAUCAGAAAGCCACGGCUAACUACGUG
rnacentral:rRNA from 1 species